rnacentral:rRNA from 1 species
GUCUACGGCCAUGCUACCCUGAAUAAGCCUGAUCCCAUCUGAUCCUGGAAGCUAAGCAGGGCUGGGCCUGGUUAGUACUUGGAUGGGAGACCACCUAGGAAGACCAGGUGCUAUAGGCG